CCGAUUUCUUUUUGUAAGAUUGUGUGGGGGAGAUGGAGUUAUUGGGGGUUUUUCUGGCAUCAGCAGCGCAAGCGGCUGAUGGCAGGGUUGGCAGGGUUGGCGUUGGUUGCGCAAGCGAUUGAUGGCAGUUUUCCGCCCCCAAACACAAAACACCAAAACCAACAAUAUCAUCAGACAAGAAUUUAUUAAAGAAUA
rnacentral:misc_RNA from 1 species